UGUCACUAUAGAUUCUGCAGUCUUUAUUAAAAAAAAAAAAAGAUAAAGAAGAUGAAGAUAACAAAAUCUGAUGGCUUCAGGAAUAUAUGUGACAGCAUUCAGAGAAAUGUUUCACUUGAGGAUCAGGAUCUGAGCAGUCACGAAAGGAACCUCCACUCUCAUACUCAUUUGGUGCUUCAUUUGUGUUUUUGCAGUGCUGAUAAACAAAGGUGAGAAAAAAAUACAUUUGAGAGUUAAUUUCACGCCACAUAAAUAAAUAAAUAACGCAUUGUGUGUAUACAGUUAAAGCUUUUGUGAUUUCAGUGUGUCUGCAGGUCACAGUAAAGGGUAUUAUUGGUGAUUCUGUUGUUCUGCCGUGUUCAACUAAACAUGAUCUUAAACUUCAGGACAUUAAUGUGCACUGGAGACAAAAUGGCAGCAAAAUUGUGUAUGAUAUAGUUGAAGGUAAAGAUUCAAUAGCAGAACAGAAUCAACGGUACAAGAACAGAGCUGAAACUUUCCCUGAAGAGUAUGAGGGAGGAAACUUCUCUCUCAAAAUCACCAGUCUCACUCACGCUGAUGCAGGAAAAUACAACUGCCUCAUCACACCCUCAGAUGAACAGAAGACUGUAGAGCUGAUCAUCAAAGAAAACGAGAGAGAAAAAACUGACAAUGAGUGGUUGUCAUUGUACUGGGUUUACAUUGCUGUACUGUUAAUAGUGCUAUUAAUAGCCUGUUUCAUCACAUAUCUCUGCUGCAGAAAAAAAAGAUAAAAUCAAUUUCAAAUCAAAUCAUGACUGAAGGACCAAUAACAAUGAUAGCAAUGACAAACUUUCUCUCACCUUUCUGA